rnacentral:rRNA from 1 species
GGUGAGAAUCAUAAUGGCCGAAAAUCUAAGGUUUCCGGGGGUAGGGUCGUCCACCCCGGGUUAGCCGGGAGCUAAGGCGAGGCCGCGAGGCGUAGUCGAUGCACAAACGGUAGAGAUUCCGUUGCCGCCAGAUCUUAAGUAACUGACACGAGGGUAGAGUUCAACCCGGCCGAUGGUAGAGCCGGGCGAAAGGGACUGAAAAAUAGUAGGGAAGUGAACGAAGCCAGCGGCGAGAAAAGGUUAUGUAUGAAAUCAGGCGCCCGUACCGCAAACCGACACAGGUAGAUGAGGAGAGGAUCCUAAGGCCAGCGGGAGAAGGGUUGUUAAGGAACUCGGCAUAUUGACCCCGUAACUUCGGAAGAGGGGGUGCCUCCGUAAGGAGGCCGCAGUGAAAAGGCCCAGGCAACUGUUUAUCAAAAACACAGGUUUCUGCAAAAGCGAAAGCUGAAGUAUAGGAGCUGACGCCUGCCCGGUGCUGGAAGGUCAAGGGGAUCGCUUAGCGCAAGCGAAGGCGAGAACUUAAGCCCCAGUAAACGGCGGCCGUAACAAUAACGGUCCUAAGGUAGCGAAAUUCCUUGCCAGGUAAGGUCUGGCCUGCACGAAUGGCGUAAUGAUCUGGGCACUGUCUCAACAGCCCGCCCGGCGAAAUUGUAGUACCGGUGAAGAUGCCGGUUUCCUGCGACUAGACGGAAAGACCCCAUGGAGCUUUACUGUAGUCUGAUACUGAAAUUUGGUUCAUUAUGCACAGGAUAGGUGGGAGACAGAGAAACCCGGGCUUUGGCUUGGGCGGAGUCGCCGUUGGGAUACCACUCUUGAUGAACCAAGUUUCUAACCUGCUCCCGUGAUCCGGGAGGGGGACAAUGUCAGAUGGGCAGUUUGACUGGGGCGGUCGCCUCCAAAAGAGUAACGGAGGCGUUCAAAGGUUGGCUCAGCGCGGACGGAAAUCGCGCAAUGAGUAUAAACGUAUAAGCCAGCCUAACUGUGAGACCUACAAGUCGAGCAGUAACGAAAGUUGGAGUUAGUGAUCAGGUGGUAGUGAGUGGAAAUGCCAUCGCUUAACGGAUAAAAGCUACCCUGGGGAUAACAGGCUGAUCUCCCCCAAGAGUUCACAUCGACGGGGAGGUUUGGCACCUCGAUGUCGGCUCAUCACAUCCUGGAGCUGGAGAAGGUUCCAAGGGUUCGGCUGUCCGCCGAUUAAAGUGGUACGCGAGCUGGGUUCAGAACGUCGUGAGACAGUUCGGUCCCUAUCUGUCGUGGGCGUUGGAUAUUUGAGAAGGGCUGACCUUAGUACGAGAGGACCGGGUCGGACGCACCUCCUGUGCACCAGUUGUCCUGCCAAGGGCAUAGCUGGGUAGCGGCGUGCGGUUUUGAUAAACGCUGAAGGCAUCUAAGCGUGAAGCAUGCUUCAAGAUGAGAUAUCCCAUCAUUUCAAAUGAGUAAGGUCACUUGCAGACUACAAGUUGAUAGGUCGGGUGUGUAAGCACGGUAACGUGUUCAGCUAACCGAUACUAAUUGACCGAGGGCUUGAACAA